UUCUCUUUGUUUUUUUAUUUUUAG
rnacentral:rRNA from 1 species